GCUCCUCCCGGGCCCUUAGUAAGCCAGCCGAGGGAAGCUCAGAACUCUCUGCUCCUCCAUGCUCUGGAUGAUAGCCAAAGACAGCUGAAUCCCGCCCUGCCCGUUUUUGUGCGCCCUGCCGCCCCGCCAUUUGCUGCCUGCCGGACCCCUCCACGUCGGCCAGCCGUGCGCCGCCAGACCCGAUCGGUCAACAAUUCUCCGUGACUCCCAGUCAAAGAUCGGUCAACAAUUCUCCGUGACUCCCAGUCAAAGGGGAGAGCUUGGGGAGCUUCUCUCAGCGGAUCUGUGGAGAGAAAAUGGCGCUGAAAAAAUGAAGCUUCGGCCGAUGAGACAAUAUUCUGCUGCCUGGAGUAGUAGUUCCUGUGCUCUGCCGCUUUCUAGAGGAGCGGGGAGUUGGACGGAACCCAGCAAGUGCCUAGAAAGAGAAACACAAUGUAUAAAUGUGAUGCAACUGACCUAAGAGUACAAACGAUAAAGAGCUGGAUAAGCGUCUGAUAAUGACCAGGAGUAUUCUAUAGCUCAUUACCACACUGAACUACAUUAGUCAUCUGUGUGUGCAUCUGCUGCCGCUGUAACGUCUGCGACUUUGUGGUAAUAGCGGUACAAGCCCUUCCACGGUGUACAGCGUAUGUCCAAUGUGGAUCUAUAGAUGCAAUCCCGCUUGGUGUGCCUUUAGAUGCAACCAUUGGUCACACCAUUGUGUAUGGCCUCCAAUGUGAAAGAGUGUGCGUCUGAGCCCGCAAACCACUUCUGCGACACUCCCAUAACACGUCCAUAAGACGGGACGUCCCCGUGCAUCUGCAUAGCCACCUCGCAGAACAUUUCUGAGACCGUGCAUCUCAUUCGCUGCUGCAACCCUGUACUCACACACUAGGGGGCGCAUGUGCUGUGUGACAUUUUAGCAACUGUGGGGGCUAUUCAAUUAGUGCAGAGUCAGAAAAACCGGCACUAAUUCAACCUGUGGGUAUUCAAUAGCCGGCAUUUUCAACAGGUUUUUGCUCCGUUUUCGCCAUGCCUUUUCGAUUUCUUUUUUGCAGAAUCGGCAUGGGUGAAAACGGACCAAAAAACUGUAGAAAACUCCUGCAAAUUCGACAAAACACGUCGAUCAGCGGCGAAUUCGCCGAUCCACGUGGUUUUCGUCUGGGUGGAUUUUUCGACAAGUCGAAAAAAGCGGAACAGGCUUUGAAUAGGUCGAGUAUGAAUUCAACCUACAAACGGGCGGAAAGUGAAAACGGCAGUGACUGAAUACCCCUCUUAGACGUAUAUACACAAUUGGAAAACAUCAAACAUUUGAGUGAAUAUUUCCAGAAAGUCCAACUCAGUAUGAGGCUCUGUUUUUUUGGGACAAAUAGGACUUGGUAGCACAGGGAAAUCAAUAUCUUAGUUUAGGUGCAUUACACACAUUAAUGGACCCAUUUAUCAACAAGUUUUAGCUAUUUAAAACUUAAGAAAAGAAAAAGAGAAAAUAACAUGGCAUAACUGUAAUGUGUAUUUGUAAACCAUUCCAAGGCGUCUUAGAUAUGAUGGGAGACAUUUGUACAUUCAUUUAUAUUUUGUUUGUCUUACAAUGGCGAAUAAAGUUUUCUGACAUA